rnacentral:lncRNA from 1 species
AAUUAUUAAAAAAAAUAAAUAUGACAAUUUCAUAACCAUUUGAAGCCCCUAUUUUAAUUCUAAUUUCCUGUCAAAUUAUUUACAAUUUUUUUCCACAAAUGUUUCAUAUACAAAAAGAGAGCUCUACAAAAAUCUCUAAUAGUCAUUGAACUUCAACAAAAUAUCAAUUAGCUUUAACAUCAAAAUUCUCACAGCUCUUUAAUACCUACUAAUGAAUCUACUCACAACCAACAAAAUUGGCAUGUGUGAGUACAUCUAAUUUCUCAUCAAGUUUUCAAUUGCAAACGAAUCUCACCACCUUUAGCAAUCUACAUCAUUCUUACAAAGAAUAAAUAAAAAUUAAGAUAAAUUCAUAGAUUAUAAGUCAUAAUAAUUAAAUCAUUUUUAGUAACUUAAGUUGUAAACAAAACUUUAAAGUACCAAAUCAUUAUUAAUUAAUAGACUUACAUUAAAUUUAUCAACCAUGUGUUUAAGUAGUAACAAGUUGCUAUGUAUACAUGUAGGCCACUCCCAUUUAACUUUAUCAAUCUCUCCUUGAGUGUAAAUUUCAGUUCUGUAAAAAUAAAAAUUAAGAAGCAUAUUACUCUAGUUCCAAACUACAAAAAUAAGUAUUUGAUAAUAAACGACAAUACAUUUUUCAAAAUAGAGAAAAUCACAAAGCUUUUAAGCUUCUAAAUCACAAAUUAUAGGUAAAGCAAUUUAGAAUUGAAAUAUACUAUAGCAAUGAUGACUUACAUCCGCUAUUUGCAUAGACUAUCACUCAAAUCUAGCGAUUCGAUAUUCUCAAUUGAUGAAAAUAUGCAACAUGUCUAAAAUAAAUCUUGCAUGCUAACACAAUAAUAAAUUUUGAAAAAAGAAUUUGUACCUUUGCCCCUGGUCAAUUUGAAAAUGAUCUCAAAAAUUUUGAUGGCCAUGAGAAAAUUAACUAACGACCAACAAUUUAUUAUUGAUGUUGUCGGAGGAUUACCAAAUUGAGAAGGAAGUGCUAAAUUCUUGAAUGGCGUUGAGAACUUAAAAAAUCUGAAAUGGAACAUUUAAAAUAGAAAGUAAAUAUAAUUAUCAAUACUCAAAGAUAGUCCACACUUUAUUGCUUAAAAACUUGAGUGGAAAACCCAGCAAAAAAGAAAAGCAAAACAGUGUAAUUUCACUGGUAUUUUUGCUGCUGUCAUGCAGAAAAAACAUAGUAGUCUUACUGCAAAGUUUUUGCAGCUGUUUUGACUGUAUAACAGCGGGCAAAAACAGUAAAAGAAACUACAAUUUGGCUGCUGUUUUUACUGUUGUCAUGCAGUAAAAUAGAGCAGUCUUGCUGCAAAGAUUUUGCAGCUGUUUGGACUGUACAACAACAGCAAAAACAACAAAAAAAACUAUAUUUUGGCUGCUGUUUUUACCGCUGUCAUGCGGUAAAGCAGAGCUGCUGUUUUUACCGCUGUCAUGCGGUAAAGCAGAGCUGCUGUUUUGACUGUAUAACAGCAGGAAAAACAGAAAAAAAAACUGUAAUUUGGCUGCAGCAAAAACAACAGAAAAACUAUAGUUUGGCUGCUGUUUUUACAUUUAUCAUGCAGUGAAAAUACAGCAGUCUCACUGCAAAAAUUUUGCUGCUGUUCUUACUGUAUAAAAAUAGUAAUACAUCACCUUAAAUAAGAGAAAAAAAUUCUUUCAGCUACUACACAUUUAAUUUAAUUCAACUUAAAUCCUUCAUAUUGUAGAGAGUGAGAGAUUGAUUCUAUAGAAUAAAGAGAAAUUAAGAUAAUUCAUAUAUUAUAAGCCAGUAUCUUCACCAUGACUGGCAACUUCCACAAGCAAUUCAUUUGCUCUUUUCCAUGAGGACUCAUCAGAACUGAAUAAGCAAACAACACCAUUAUAAAAGAAUGAAUAUAUGUCUGAUUUGAAAUGAGCAAAACCUAGGUUAUGAGCAGCACAGAAAUGCAAAAAGAAAAAGGGAAUGUCUUUCUCUGUAAAUACAUGUAGAUAGAUGUUUGCAGAUGCAUGCAAGGGAAAAAAGAAUGUCUUUCUACAUUCUCAAGGCUCCAAUUGAAGCACUAACAGGUACAUUUAUGCAAAAAUAUAAGAAGAAAAAUAAUGUAUGAUACCUGUAGUCCCUGAGGAGUAAGCAAAUGUAUUUCGAUACGUGUACAUUUCCUGAAAGAAGAUUGAACUAUAAAUAGACUGCCAAUGGAUCAAAAUGCACUUUCAACACAAAAUCCAAUUAAAUUUGAAGAUGGCACAAAACAAUUAGUUGAAAAUUGUACUCGUGACACCGGAAUGAAUCGCAUAACAAUUCUUUCACAGAGCUUUCGGCAACCAUAUAGCUCAAAAAUCAGAUAGCAGCAUACACUAAAUGGGAACAAUUUUUUUCUCAAUUACAUUAGUAUAAGUCCAAUGCAGGGAAAAAAAUGCACUUUCAAAAUGAAUUACAACUUAAUAACAACAACAAUCAACUAAAAUGUAAGCAAGAAUCAUAGACAAACAAUUUAUAAACCAAAUGAGAUGAAAAUUUCUUUAUUAAAUUAAUAGAAGGUCAGUUGACAGGAAAUAAAGAGAACAAACAAUAAUUGGAUGAAUCAAAACCCUAGAGCAAGAAAAUACAAUAAGAAGGAAGCAUCUGAAACAAGAAAAUGAAAUCAACAGCUCACUGUCUCCCGCGGCGGGCGCGAUGGCUACGGUUGAACGAGCUACAAUGACAACUGCUGUCGAUGAGGUGGCUGAAUCACGAUCAUUGCCGCGAACUAACUAGGACUCUGAAUCACGACCACGAUCUGCCCUACGAGCUAAUCAAAAAAAUUGAAUCGAUUGGCAGCGGUGGAUGGUGCGUGACUGAUGGGCUGACGAUAGUGAAAUUGACAGAGUGAGACGAUGAGACUGGAGAGGGAGAUGGUGAGACCGUGAGAGAGAGAGAGAGAGAGACCAACGAUGCAGAGAGUGAAAGUGAGCAUGAAAGAGAGAGAGACCGGAGAUGGAGAGAAUGAGAGUGAGCGUAAGAGACAGAGAGACCGAAGAUGGAGAGGAGAGUGAGCGGGUGAGAGAGAGGGGGGCGUGGCUGCUGCUGUGCUUGUAGAAUUAGAAAUUAGGUCAUGAUUUUUUUUUUUAGCCGAUUAAGAUUUUUU